GUGAUGGGCAUGCAAUGGCCUUAGGCCCAAGCCACAAAUCCAAGAGAGGUGGAAGGUUUCAGAAUGCAUUUCAUUUCAGUCUUCACUCCGAUCACGUCCAUGAGCUAGGUCAUCGUAUAACUCACCUGAGCCACAACGUCGCCGCACCGAAAAUCAUCUCCGACGGAGGAGGAGGUCCAAACACAGUUAAACCUACAUCAUCCGACUUGUUUUUGCUCUCUCUUUCACAAGCUCAACCUAACUUUUCUCAAUUCCUAGCCAAAACUCCAAAUUGAACAGAAAUUUCUAUGAACCCAACAUUUCAAGUUAAAAUUAAAUGCCACGGAGGAGGAAUCAAAGCCUAAAAUGUUAGGCCUGUGAUUCCACUUAUCUAAUUCUACAUUAUGGUAACUUGUUUGAGGCAAAAAGAAGAAUGAAACGGAAAAUCACCAACCUUCAGGGUCGAGGCUCACCCUGGUGAUUGCUGCAGAUUGAAGAAGAUGGUUGAGAAGAGAAAACCAGAGAUUUGGUCAGGGUUGUCACGCAUAUGAUGAGAAGAGACUAGGCUUGGCAUGGACUUAAGGCAUGGCAUGAGGAGAUUUAUGGCAUAUGAAGAAAAUUUUAAUGGCUUGCAAUUAAAGGAAAGGGUAAGAUUAGGGUUUAGGAAUAGGACUAGGUAGUUAACAUUUAUCAACUGUUUAACAAAAAAAUCAACAGUUGACCAAAGUCAUCUGUAGGUAAAAAAUGAAAUCUUGUGUAAUUGGUUUUGUAAUUUGGAUUUGCAAUGUAAAAUGGAUGUUUUGAUAAUGAAAAAUGGCCUUAGGUGAAAUGUCUUGUAUGUAAAGUAACUUUUCUCCCUGGUUUGAAUAUUUGAGCUUGAAUUUAAAAUGGCCUUGAAUGA